GGGGAGAAGAUGACCCACGCUACCGUCUCACCAGCAAAACACACACAGGCCACUCGGAUCCUUCUGCAGUACAGCUUUAAUACAUCUCGAGAGAUAGAUGAUCAGCUUCAGGAGAGGAGACCCAGAGAGCAGAAAACCCUUCCCUUUUAUAGGCUGCGAAAAAACGGUUGGAGAUGUGCACCACUGGGAUUGGCUGCCCACUAUCAGUCAGUUAACGCCACGAGAAAGGCAGGGCUCAGGUAAUGGAAUGAUACCCUGA
rnacentral:lncRNA from 1 species